GCGGCAGUGCAGCAUAGUGGUUAAGGAGCAGGGCUCAUAACCGAAAGGUUGGCAGUUCGAUUCCCCUCUGGGGCA